rnacentral:rRNA from 1 species
UACGUAGGGUGCAAGCGUUGUCCGGAAUUAUUGGGCGUAAAGAGCUCGUAGGCGGUCUGUUGCGUCGGCUGUGAAAACCCGGGGCUCAACCCCGGGCCUGCAGCCGAUACGAGCAGACUAGAGUUCGGCAGGGGAGACUGGAAUUCUCGGUGUAGCGGUGAAAUGCGUAGAUAUCGAGAGGAACACCUGCGGCGAAGGCGGGUAGCUGGGCCGACACUGACGCUGAUGCGCGAAAGCCAGGGGAGCGAACGGG